CCAAUAGCGUAUAUUAAAGUUGUUGCAGUUAAAAAGCUCGUAGUUGAAUUUCGGGAUCAGUUGGUCGGUCGUGCCUCGGUACGUACUGGUCAAAUUGAUUCCUACCUUCUGACGAACCACGAUGUCAUUAAUUUGGUGUCGCGGGAAAUCAGGACUGUUACUUUGAAAAAAUUAGAGUGUUUAAAGCAGGCUCGCGCUUGAAUACAUUAGCAUGGAAUAAUGAAAUAGGACGUUUGAUUCUAUUUUGUUGGUUUCUAGGAUCGACGUAAUGAUUAAUAGGGUUAGUUGGGGGCAUUAGUAUUCAAUUGUCAGAGGUGAAAUUCUUGGAUUUAUUGAAGACUAACUACUGCGAAAGCAUUUGCCAAGGAUGUUUUCAUUAAUCAAGAACGAAAGUUAGGGGAUCGAAGACGAUCAGAUACCGUCGUAGUCUUAACCAUAAACUAUGCCGACUAGGGAUCGGAUGAUGUUAAUUUUUUAAUGACUCAUUCGGCGCCUUACG
rnacentral:rRNA from 1 species